GUUGGGAUAUCUCAGUUGGUCGAGUCUGAGAUUCUUAAUCUCUGGGUCGUGGGUUCAAACCCCAUGUUGGGCA